GAUGAACGCUGGCGGCGUGCCUAAUACAUGCAAGUCGAACGAAAAGAGGAGCUUGCUUCUCUUUUAGUGGCGAACGGGUGAGUAAUACAUAAGCAACCUACCUAUUCGACCGGGAUAACAGUUGGAAACGACUGCUAAUACCGGAUAGGUGCGCGGGGGACAUCCCCUGCACAUUAAAGCUGGGACACAGCACGAAUGGAUGGGCUUAUGGCGCAUUAGUUAGUUGGCGGGGUAACGGCCCACCAAGACGAUGAUGCGUAGCCGACCUGAGAGGGUGACCGGCCACACUGGGACUGCGACCCGGCCCAGACUCCUACGGGAGGCAGCACUCCCUGCUUUUCGGCAAUGGGCGCAAGCCUGCCCGCUCCACGCCGCGUGAGUGAAGAAGGCCUUCGGGUUGUCCCGCUCUUUUCUAAGGGAAGAAUGGCCCCCCUCUCCAAUGCUCUUGGAGUGACGGUACCUUACCAGAAAGCCACGGCUAACUACGUGCCAGCCGCCGCCGUAACCC
rnacentral:rRNA from 1 species